UACAGUCACAUCACCUUGAAACAUCGCUUUCCGUACGAUCACCGAAGUUAAGCAACGUUGAGUCUGGUCAGUACCUAGAUGGGUGACUGCUUGAGAAUACCAGGUGCAGUAAG